UACUCCCUCUCCCUCCUCAGGCCCUCCUUCAAGGCUGAUGAUUGCAAUAAUUGUAAUUGGACUUGUAAUCACGCUGUCCUAAUCGGAUGUAUGGUAUGGUGCCUGCUUGAAAGGUGAGGUCUAGAAGAGAAGGAGGAGGUGCUGGCUCCCCUCCUCCAUCUCCCCCAAUCCUCCUAUUCCUCCUGGCUUGUCUCUGAUCUUGUUCCCCAAGAAACCCCUCCUCCUCCCACCUCACCUGGUCCUAUAAAACUGAUCACAUCGGGCCCCCAACUCAGCUGACGGUCCCCUCUUCCCCCUGGCCGAGUCUGGUGGGAGGAGGCAGAAGAGGGUGGUUCAGUAGCACUGCACAGAAAUUUUACAUGGGUUUCAUUUUACUUCAUUUUCUUCCCUCUCUUCUCCCUGAGGGUUCUCCAGAUUCAGAAUGUCCCGCUUGCAGUCACAGGCCCAGGGCUCUUUGUUCAGUGUCUGAGCCCCCAACCUGCACCCUGUCCCUAGGAAGGGAGGUGCAGCAAGAGUGCCCUCGCCACCACUCAGUGGAUUUCUCUUCUCUUCUAGGUCUCUUUAAUGAGUGCUGGCACAAGGUGAUCGGUUUCUCCAGCAUCUGGCGGCCUCAGACCCUCAGUAACUGCAUCACAACAAAGCCCAGGGUGGACACGGUCCCUGGAAAAGAAGCUGACAGAAGACAACGCCCAGUCCCGAGAUGCAGCAAGCAGACUGCCUGUUGAAACCAGCAGCCCCUGAAGGAUCUCAGAGGAGAAGAUGGCUGCUGGUUCCAACAGACGCCACUGAAAGUGAGUGUUUUUUUCCUGGGCAGGGGAUCAGGAGUGGAGGGAAGAGGGACAGUGUCCUAAUUUCUAUCUCCAUAGUGGUUAGAGCAACUCAGAGAGGGGAUGGCUUGCCCCUGAACCAUCAGGACUCUAAUUCCCUCCCUGCCCCCUCCUCUUUUUCCCACCCUGCACCCCUCUGACCUCUAACAGUGGCCCCUAACACCUCCCUGUCCUUCCCUCCUCCACCAUCCUCUCUCCUCCCUGGUUGCUCAGGGCCAGGUUGACCCACUCUGAGACAUCCGAGAGGUUGUGCUGUCCAGCAGGGCACCCCCUGGCCCAGGGAGGCUGUGGAGCGCCUGUCCAUGCAUGCUAAGUCUCUUUAAUCAUGUCUGACUCCUUGCAACCCCAUGGACUGUAGCCUGCCAGGCUCCUUAGUCCAUGGGAUUCUCCAGGCAAGAAUACCGGAGUGGGUUACCAUGCCCUCCUCCAGGGAUCAUUCCAACCCAGGGAUCGAACCCACAUCUUACAUCUCCUGCAUUAGCAAGCAGGUUCUUUACCACUGGCGCCACCUGGGAGCCCUGUGGAGCGCCUGAACUGUGGCUAAAUCUGAUGAGCUGUAGUAUAUAACUCGAUACUGUAGUUCAAGGAGUUGGUAGAAAAAAUGACUAUAAUUUGUCUCGUUAACAGUUUUUUUUUUUUUUUUUUUGGUAUAUUGAUUACAUGUUGAGGGGCUUCCCUGGUGGCUCAGAUGGUAAAGAAUUCUCCUGUAAUGCAAGAGAACAGGGUUCAGUCCCUGGGUCAGGAAGAUCCCCUGGAGAAGGGAAUGGCAACCCACUCCAGUAUUCCUACCUGGAGAAUCUCAUGGACAGAGGAGCCUGACAGGCUACAGUCCAUGAAGUCACAAAGAGUCAGACACACAACUGAGCAGCUAACACUACAUAUUGCAGUGAAAAAAUUCUUAACUUACUUUUAAUUGGAGGAUAAUUGCUUCACAAUGUUGUGCUUGUUUCUGCUGUACAGCAACAUGAACCAGCCAUAGGUGCACAUAUAUCCCCUCCCUCUUGAGCCUCCUUCCAACGCCCCCAUCCCACCUCCCUUAGGUUAUCACAGAGCACCGGAUCGAGCUCUCUGUGUUAUCAAGCCACUUCCCAUUAGCUAUCUAUAUUACAUAUUGAAAGGAAAUUUUUUAGAAUACUUUGAGUUAGUACCAUAUUUUAUGAAAACUAGUAUUGUUAUUUUUCAUGUUUUCAGUGUAACUGUUAGAGAAUAUAAACUUGUGUUGGGUGCCCUCCUUAUGUACUGUGGAUGGUGGUGUGCACAGCAUUUCACACACACAGCGUUGAAUCUGCAGCACAGUCCAUGAGGCGGGUGGUGUUUGCUCCAUUUUAAGGUUAAAUUCUUGCUCGGAGUCUGUCCCCAUCGAGCUGUACCGAAGGGUCAGGCAGUGAGGCCGAGCGGGGUGUGAGGCCGGAGACCUUCCUCCCUCCAGGCCUUUGCUUUGUCCCCAGUGCAGAGGUGGCAGCCAGGAGGCCUCACCCUCCUGAGAAAGGCAGGUGCCCUCCUCUGAGGUCUGUUGCCCCUCGCUGUCCCACCCUCUGUCUCCUAUCACAGAUGCCUUCUCCCUCUGUGACAGCAGUCUCCUCUUCCAGAUGGGCCCGCAUCCCCUGCUUGGGGCAGGACUCUCUGCUGACCUGGACUGCCCCCAACUGCUCUGAGUGCUGACGAAGUCCAAUGCCCAGUGCCUGUGUGGCUUGUUUGCUGCUGGGAAGCAGGUCAGGGGCGCAGAGCAGCAGGCUUACCAGCAGGGGGAGCUCCUCAGGUUCCCAUCCUGAAGUCUAGGCCUGAAUUGAGGGUCCUUUGCCUUUGUGAAAGCCCGUUCCAACUCUGUCUCUGUGACUUUCCCCCAACCUAGGCCUGAAGCUAUUCUUCAGUGAGUUUGCAGCUGUCUUUUCCUUGUGACUUCUGUGAUUCGCUCCUGAGGCAGUUGGGCCUCACAUGAAAUGAGAUCCUUGUGACCAGAGAAUAGGCCUGGGUCUCUCCACAUGCCUUGUGUGAUGCUGCCAGUCACCAAGAAGGGACAGGGGACCUCAGUCAACACCCCGAUGGAUGCCUUGGAAAUGCUCGGGCAAAGGUUGACAAAUGAGACAAUUCAAGAGUGCCUGCGGAACUCAGGAAAGUAUUAACAUGUUUAUGAAGAAAGUGAGACAGGCUCUGCUGUGCCCUGACCGUUUGAGGACCUCAGUCUUUCAGUUCAGGACACACUCUUAAUAGACUUCUAGUUUUUAUUUGUAUUUGUUUGAAAUUUGUCAUUCAUGUUAGUAUGUAUGCAUUUAAUGAUGUAACUUAUAAUGAAGGUGUUAGUCACUGAGUCAUGUCCAACUCUUUGCGACCCUAUGGACUGUCCCCACCAGGCUCUUCUGUCCAUGGGGUUUCUCCAGGCAAGAGUACUGGAGUGGGUUGCCAUUUCCUUCUCCAGGGGAUCUUCCCUACCCAGGGAUGGAACCUAGGUCUCUUGCACUGCAGGCAGACUCCUUACCAACUGAGCCACCAGGGAGGCCCCGUAACUUGUAAUAUACAUCAUUAAAGUGCAAACAUCUUAUAUGUCUUGGUACUUUUAUGUUUGUGCAUAUAUAUGUAUGUGUAGAAAAACAUUUUGCAAAUAUAAUUUCUAGGUUUAUGUGGGCUACCUGGUUGAGUACUGACAAUCUAAAUAAACUAGAAAUACAAAAGGAGGGCA
rnacentral:lncRNA from 1 species